GAGCAGCCAAGACUUGUUAAAGGA
rnacentral:misc_RNA from 1 species